rnacentral:rRNA from 1 species
CCCGCUGAACUUAAGCAUAUCAAUAAGCGGAGGAAAAGAAACUAACAAGGAUUCCCCUAGUAACUGCGAGUGAAGCGGGAAAAGCUCAAAUUUAAAAUCUGGCAGCCAUUUUACGGUUGUCCGAGUUGUAAUCUAGAGAAGUGCUUUCCGCGCUGGACCGUGUACAAGUCUCUUGGAAUAGAGCAUCAUAGAGGGUGAGAAUCCCGUCUUUGACACGGACUACCAGUGCUUUAUGUGAUGCGCUCUCAAAGAGUCGAGUUGUUUGGGAAUGCAGCUCAAAAUGGGUGGUAAAUUCCAUCUAAAGCUAAAUAUUGGCGAGAGACCGAUAGCGAACAAGUACCGUGAGGGAAAGAUGAAAAGAACUUUGGAAAGAGAGUUAAACAGUACGUGAAAUUGUUGAAAGGGAAACGCUUGAAGUCAGUCACGUUGGCCAGAAAUCAACUUGUAACAGGGCGUAAUUUCUGGUUUUACGGGUCAACAUCAAUUUUGAUUGUUGGAUAAAAGUCAAUAUUUAUGCGUUUUCGGACGUGUAGCCUUUGAUUGCAUACAAUGGUUGGGAUUGAGGAACUCAGCACGCCGCAAGCGCCGGGUAACUUGUUACCACGUAACGUGCUUAGGAUGUUGCGCAUAAUGCGCUUUAAUCGACCCGUCUAGAAACACGG